UCUCCGUACGGGAAGGAUGAGAAGCUUCGACUAAGGUUCGAUUCGAGCGCAGCGAGAACGCGUUGCCGCAGGCAACGACCCGAAGGGCGAAGCGCGCAGCGCUGAGUCAUCCUUCCCCCACCACCA
rnacentral:sRNA from 3 species